rnacentral:lncRNA from 1 species
UUUAAAUUAAUAUGUGGUUCCUUCCAAGUUUUGACAUAGUUCAUCAAUACAAAACAUAAUAUACCAAUAAAAUGAAAAAAUACAAUAUAGUACAUGCAAUAAAAAUGUCCCCAAUACAUGAAAACGAUCACCAAGUUAAUAUUUAUUAAUUUAAUGUCACCCUAAACUCCAUUCUAAUAGCCAACACCCUAAAUAGUAGAUCAAUAUACCAAAAGCCGAUUUAUUCCCUCUACCAGGUAAAAAGUUAGCUUUGUUAGUAGGUAGGUAAUGUAAACCCGACACCUGAUCAAUAAAAAAAAAACGGCCAGUAAAACGCCGAUUUCCACAAGGGUACUUAAAUAAUAGUACCAUAUGCCUUGUACAUGUAUAGAUAAGGACUUUCAAUGAUACUAGGCAAACUGGGGGAACAUACCACCCAUUUAUACCUUCUGAUCAAUUAAUCUAUCUCCUUUGAUAUAUAAAAAAACGGCUAGUAUUACGCCAAUACCUGGAGUAAAAUACAGGUAAUCGAUGGUUAUAAUCACUAUCAAACCAAUUAAUUUCAUAAGGACCCAAACAGGGAAUUCAAAUAUUCAAAAAUAUGUACUGCAUAACGGCAGUCAUCAGUAUUUAUGAUAUGACUUAUAUAGUCUGCAAUUUCAUUCUUUGCCCUAGGUAUCUAUUCAACCUCUUAGAACAAGUGUGCUUCAACAUAUUUAACAUGAAAAUAAAGUUAUGUAACAGAAUUGGAGGGUCCAUAUUAUUAAAAUCUGUAAAGAUAGUUUCGAUUGCAAUUUAUAAAUUUAAAAAAAAGGAAUGAAACCAUUGUCAUUCCCUUCAUGUUUCUCUGGUGUGGAACAGUUGCUAUGUCAACAAACAAGACGAGUUCAUACAUGUAGCCAUGGUUUAAUUCAUAAAAAAAAGUUAAUUUGCACAUAUUUUAAAUUUUAGACUUUUGCAUGUCUAGUUAAGGAAUUGAUCUCAUAUUUCAUACUGUUCUGAACUACUAAACAAUGCUGACAAUAUAAUAUAUAUAUUGUGUUCUUUUAUUUUUAUCGUAAGCAUAUCAAUAUUUUUAUUUCCAAUCAUUUUUAUCAGUGAUUUCAUUACCAUAUAUAUUUUACCAAUUGUUCAUAUGUCAUUGCAUCACAUGAUCAUAAUUUUUGAAAUCAAGUGAUAAAAUGCAGAUUAUAUUCUGCAGCCAGUUUUAAUAUGAAGUGAUAAUUAUAUAUAAAAUGCUGAUAAAAAUUCUCCAGUUUUAAAUAUUUAUUAGAUUAUUUGUUUUAACAGCACCAAAUAAAUCGUUCUUAGGUUUUUGGACUGUUUAACAAUGAUACUGUUGUGAGGAAUUUAUAGAAGUUCAAGUUUAAUAUGUUUUAUUUUAAAGAUUUAAAGAAAAAGUAUAUUUCAGCAUUAUUAAAUAAAAGUAUUUUUUUUACUCAUGAUUUAAUCUUCACAGAACCUGUGAUUUACUGUGAAUUCAAUACUUUUGAUAAUACUUACAAAAACAUGUACUAUUGUUCAUCUACUUUCAACAUUUUUUUUAUCAAUAUCGAAACCUGCUGAAUGAUGUUUUAAGCGAAUUCAGAUUACAGAAAACCAAUUUGAUGUGUGUAUUCAAUGCACAUUAGGUUAUGGAUAAUUAAGGGUCUGGAUUUGGGUAUAAAUUUCUGUUUUCCAUUUAUCUCAAUUCUUUAUCUUAUUGACCCAUUAUUCUCAAUUCUUUAUCUUAUUGACCCAUUAUUCUCAAUUCUUUAUCUUAUUGACCCAUUAUUCUCAAUUCUUUAUCUUAUUGACCCAUUAUUCUCAAUUCUUCAUCUUAUUGACCCAUUAUUCUCAAUUCUUUAUCUUAUUGACCCAUUAUUCUCUAUUCAUCAUUUUGUUGCCCAUAAUUCUCUAUUCGUUCUUUGUUUUUUUUCUUGACCCUUUCCCCUCUAUUCUGUAUUGACCCAUUCUCAAUUCUCUAAACCUAUCCAGACCCUUGUGGUUUAUUGUGCAAUUAUUUUUAUAAAACCUGUUCUGUACCUCUUUGUAUUUUUUAUGGUGCUUUACUGUAGAUUUUUCUAAAUGUGUUUUAACCUAUUGUCGCUUUUUUCCAAAAAAAAUAUUGAACUUUGUUUUCCUUCUUGGUUGAUCUAUGAAAUUUUAUAAUCAAACUUUUUUAAGUUUUGUGUAAAUUUUCAAUUAAGAUAUAUAUACAUUUUAAAAUUCGAUAAAAUUAAAUUUUUAAUAUGGAUAAUUUUAAAAAAUUGCAAAAUAUUCAUUUUUUUGUUACAAUAUCUUUUAUACAUCAUUAGAUAAUCAAUUUACAAGUGUAACUUUAACCCAAAAAAGAUAUAAAGGUUUAAAUAUAAUGAAAUGUAUGUAAAUAUUAUUUUAUUUUUACUGAUAUUUCAGAUGCUGUCGUUGACAUGCAAACAAAUAUUAUACUCAUUUAUCGUUUGGUUGUAGGAUAUGUUGAAUGAGCUGAUUUUAAACAGACUGGUGUAAACUUAUGUUUCAAAACAGGUUAAUUUAUUUUUUCAAGGUCAAGAAAAAAUAUUUUUUAUUAAGGUUUGAUGGGAAAGUACCGAGGGCUUGAUUUAAAUUAGUAACAAACUUCACUUUUACAUUUGACUUUAGAAUUAACAGGUUUUUAAUUAAGAUAGAAACUUUUAUGUUAUUUAUAACAACAAUUUUCAUAAGAAGCUGAAUUUUAGUCGAAAUUUCAUACAGUUGAUUUAUUUUAAGACAAGAAAAAUUCUUCUCAAAAGUAUUAUUGAAAAUUGAAUUUUAGUUGACAUUUUUUAACAGUUAAGUUAUUUUAAGACAACAAUAAUACUUCUCAAAUGUAUUAUUGAAAAAGUUCAUUUUUGUUUUACGUGUAUAAUUUUAUUCCAGUUUUCAUUGUAUGAAUGAUAAGUGCAGAGAGAGUUAUUGUAUUUUCAUAUCAUUGUUAAACAUGUAAUUGACCAGAAGGAUAUUCUGGACAAUGAAUAUAAAAAAAUUAUGAAAAACCAUUCAUAAAAAUAUUUAAAAAUGAAAUUGAUAUUGUGUUGCAUCAUUUUUAAUACCAGAGUUAUUCAGCUUUUGAGGUAUGGGUAUAAGUUGGAUUAAUUUGCCAUUUCAGAUUCUAAUAAUGAAAGGCCCACCCAUGACAAAGAGUAAAAAGAACAGCUUGAAUUAUGAUGAAACAAUAAACCAUGAAAAAAACUAAUAUGAAAGACAACAACCAUAAACAAACAUUACAGGCUACUGUCUAUUAUUUUAGCUAACAGAAAAAUACUGAAUGUUUCAGUUAGCUAAUACUUACAAAGUACACUCAUCCUGUAUAUAUAGAUAUAAGAAUAUGUGGUAUGAGUGCCAAUGAGACAACUCUCCAUCCAAGUCACAAUUAAUAAAAGUAAAUCAUUAUUGAUAAAAGUACGGUCAUCAACACAGAGCCUUGGCUCACACCAAACAGCUAGCUAUAAAGGACCCCAAAAAAUGACUAGUAUAAAUCCAUUGAAACAGGAAAACUAACGGUCUAAUCUAUAUAAAAAAUGAGAAACAAGAAACAUUUAUGAACCACAUCAACAAACGAUAACUACUGAAGAUUCUUGACUUAGGAUAGGUGCAAAUAAUUGCAGCGGGUUCUUGAAAACGUUUAAAUAGGUAUCAACCUUCCCCUUAUCUCAAACAAUAGUGUAACAUCCCAACAUAUAUAGAAAGACAGACUAUGAAAUAUAAAUUAAAAUGGCUAAACUCAAUCAAAAGACAUAUCAACACAAUAACAGUAUAAUAAAAGACUUGCCAUGGCACCAC